rnacentral:rRNA from 1 species
AACGAACGCUGGCGGCAUGCCUAACACAUGCAAGUCGAACGCCUGUCGCAAGACAGGAGUGGCGCACGGGUGAGUAACGCGUGGGAACCUGCCUAGUGGUAAGGAAUAACCGCGGGAAACUGCGGCUAAUACCUUAUGAGCCCUACGGGGGAAAGAUUUAUCGCCAUUAGAGGGGCCCGCGUCCGAUUAGCUAGUUGGUGAGGUAACCGCUCACCAAGGCGACGAUCGGUAGCUGGUCUGAGAGGAUGAUCAGCCACACUGGGACUGAGCCACGGCCCAGACUCCUACGGGAGGCAGCAGUGGGGAGUGUUGGAAAAUGGGGGCAAACCUGAUCCAGCAAUGCCGCGUGAGUGAUGAAGGCCUUAGGGUUGUAAAGCUCUUUCGACGGGGAAGAUGAUGACGGUACCCGUAGAAGAAGCCCCGGCUAACUUCGUGCCAGCCGCCGCAGUAAUAC